rnacentral:rRNA from 1 species
UACGUAGGGACCGAGCGUUGUCCGGAAUCAUUGGGCGUAAAGAGCGUGUAGGCGGCCACUUAAGUCCUGCGUGAAAUCUUGCGGCUCAACCGCAAGCGGUCGUGGGAAACUGGGUGGCUAGAGUGCGGGAGAGGAGAGUGGAAUUCCUGGUGUAGCGGUGGAAUGCGCAGAUAUCAGGAAGAACACCCGUGGCGAAGGCGGCUCUCUGGGACGCAACUGACGCUGAGACGCGAAAGCGUGGGGAGCAAACAGG